rnacentral:tRNA from 1 species
UGUUCCAUGGCUAAACUGGUCAAGGCUGGUUUGAGGCGAAGAUGCGGGUUCGAUUCCCGCUGGAAUGG